rnacentral:rRNA from 1 species
GAUGAACGCUGGCGGCGUGCCUAAUACAUGCAAGUCGAGCGAACGGACGAGAAGCUUGCUUCUCUGAUGUUAGCGGCGGACGGGUGAGUAACACGUGGAUAACCUACCUAUAAGACUGGGAUAACUUCGGGAAACCGGAGCUAAUACCGGAUAAUAUUUUGAACCGCAUGGUUCAAAAGUGAAAGACGGUCUUGCUGUCACUUAUAGAUGGAUCCGCGCUGCAUUAGCUAGUUGGUAAGGUAACGGCUUACCAAGGCAACGAUGCAUAGCCGACCUGAGAGGGUGAUCGGCCACACUGGAACUGAGACACGGUCCAGACUCCUACGGGAGGCAGCAGUAGGGAAUCUUCCGCAAUGGGCGAAAGCCUGACGGAGCAACGCCGCGUGAGUGAUGAAGGUCUUCGGAUCGUAAAACUCUGUUAUUAGGGAAGAACAUAUGUGUAAGUAACUGUGCACAUCUUGACGGUACCUAAUCAGAAAGCCACGGCUAACUACGUGCCAGCAGCCGCGGUAAUACGUAGGUGGCAAGCGUUAUCCGGAAUUAUUGGGCGUAAAGCGCGCGUAGGCGGUUUUUUAAGUCUGAUGUGAAAGCCCACGGCUCAACCGUGGAGGGUCAUUGGAAACUGGAAAACUUGAGUGCAGAAGAGGAAAGUGGAAUUCCAUGUGUAGCGGUGAAAUGCGCAGAGAUAUGGAGGAACACCAGUGGCGAAGGCGACUUUCUGGUCUGUAACUGACGCUGAUGUGCGAAAGCGUGGGGAUCAAACAGGAUUAGAUACCCUGGUAGUCCACGCCGUAAACGAUGAGUGCUAAGUGUUAGGGGGUUUCCGCCCCUUAGUGCUGCAGCUAACGCAUUAAGCACUCCGCCUGGGGAGUACGACCGCAAGGUUGAAACUCAAAGGAAUUGACGGGGACCCGCACAAGCGGUGGAGCAUGUGGUUUAAUUCGAAGCAACGCGAAGAACCUUACCAAAUCUUGACAUCCUUUGACAACUCUAGAGAUAGAGCCUUCCCCUUCGGGGGACAAAGUGACAGGUGGUGCAUGGUUGUCGUCAGCUCGUGUCGUGAGAUGUUGGGUUAAGUCCCGCAACGAGCGCAACCCUUAAGCUUAGUUGCCAUCAUUAAGUUGGGCACUCUAAGUUGACUGCCGGUGACAAACCGGAGGAAGGUGGGGAUGACGUCAAAUCAUCAUGCCCCUUAUGAUUUGGGCUACACACGUGCUACAAUGGACAAUACAAAGGGCAGCGAAACCGCGAGGUCAAGCAAAUCCCAUAAAGUUGUUCUCAGUUCGGAUUGUAGUCUGCAACUCGACUACAUGAAGCUGGAAUCGCUAGUAAUCGUAGAUCAGUAUGCUACGGUGAAUACGUUCCCGGGUCU